AUACUUACCUGGCAGGAGAGAUACCAUGAUCAUGAAGGUGGUUUUCCCAGGUCGAGCCUUAUCCAUUGCAUUCCAGAUGUACUGAUCCCUUCCAUUUCCCCAAAUGCAGGGAAACUUGACUGCAUAAUUCAUGGUAGUUGGGGGCUGUGUUCUAGCUCUGCCCUGG